CUCUCUCUCUGCCCCUCCCCCGUUCAUGCUCUGUCUCUCUCUGUCCCAAAAAUAAACGUUGAAAAAAAAAUUUAAAAAAAAAAAAAAAAAACUACAAAUAGGGAUGAUUUCAUCUCAUUUUGGCUAAUACUUAUCCCCCCUUUUUUUUCUCUUAUUGCAUUAAUUAGGUCACCUAAUCUUAAUUAGGCAAUCUUAAUUAGUAGAAAUAUGGCAAGCAGUCUGGCCUUAAAACCAACUCUACUGGCAAUACUUCUGAUAUUUUGACAUAAAGAUGAUGCAGCGUAUAAGUCUUAUCAAGUUAGGGAAGUUUCUUUUUAUUCCUAUUUGCUAAGAGUUUUUUUUUUUUGUUUGUUUGUUUUUUGUUUGUUUGUUUGUUUGUUUGUUUUUCCCCAGUCAUGAAUGGGUAUUGAAUUUUACUAAGCCCACUCGGUAAAUAUUUCAUUUCAGUUAUGGUACAUUGUACAUUUAUUUGAUAAUAAUGGCUACUGUCAAUAUUUUAUAAAACUAUUUCCUUAAACAUGUAAUGUUUUAGAUCAUGACAUUUUAGAGUUUUUAACGCUUGAUGAGCAUUUGUUAAAGCAUUUAAAUUUCAGAUUGCCAUCACUUGGCUGAUGUGGCAAUUGGUCUCCAAGACUCGAUCUGAAGGAAGGCGACGGCCACGUCAUGAGAAUAUUCAAGCAACCCUCCGUGGAGGCCCACGUGAAGAGGCCACUUCUCAGCCAGUGACCUCCAGAGCUGUGAAGAAGGCAACCUCCUGUUUCAGACACUCGGUCUGUGCUCCUUCUUUAUAGCAGCCCUAGGAAUCUCAUCUAGUGAGCCACCUUCGAAGUGGACGCUCGGUCCCGGUCCAGCCUUCGGAUGACUGUGAUUCAUGAGACACCUGGAGCCAGAACCGUCUAGCUAAGCUCCCCCGAAACUCCUGACCCACACAAAGUGUGAAUUAAUAAAGGUUUGUUCUUGUUUUAAAUCA